ACACUGUACGAGUUUGAUCAUGGCUCAGAUUGAACGCUGGCGGCAGGCUUAACACAUGCAAGUCGAACGGAACCUUCGGGUUUAGUGGCGAACGGGUGAGUAAUACCUAGGAAUCUGCCUAUUAGUGGGGGAUAACGGCUCGAAAGGGUCGCUAAUACCGCAUACGUCCUACGGGAGAAAGAGGGGGAUCUUCGGACCUCUUGCUAAUAGAUGAGCCUAGGCCGGAUUAGCUAGUUGGUAGGGUAAAGGCCUACCAAGGCGACGAUCCGUAGCUGGUCUGAGAGGAUGAUCAGCCACACUGGAACUGAGACACGGUCCAGACUCCUACGGGAGGCAGCAGGUGGGGAAUAUUGGACAAUGGGGGCAACCCUGAUCCAGCCAUGCCGCGUGUGUGAAGAAGGCCUUCGGGUUGUAAAGCACUUUAAGCGAGGAGGAAGGUCUUUGAACUAAUAUUUCAAAGAAUUGACGUUACUCGCAGAAUAAGCACCGGCUAACUCUGUG
rnacentral:rRNA from 1 species